AGAGUUUGAUCAUGGCUCAGAACGUACGCUGGCGGCACGCCUAACACAUGCAAGUCGAACGAAGUAGCAAUACUUAGUGGCAGACGGGUGAGUAACAUGUAGGUAUCUGCCCUUUGGCCUGGAAUAACACGAGGAAACUUGUGCUAAUACCGGAUAAGUCUUUACGGAGAAAGCUUUAUGCACCAUUGGAUGAGCCUGCACUUGAUUAGUUUGUUGGUGGGGUAAUGGCCUACCAAGACUGUGAUCAAUAGCUGAUUUGAGAGGAUGAUCAGCCACAUUGGGACUGAGACACGGCCCAAACUCCUACGGGAGGCAGCAGUGGGGAAUCUUGCACAAUGGAGGAAACUCUGAUGCAGCGAUGCCGCGUGAGUGAAGAAGGCCCUUGGGUUGUAAAGCUCUUUCGUCGGGGAAGAAAAUGACUGUACCCGAAUAAGAAGGUCCGGCUAACUUCGUGCCAGCAGCCGCGGUAAUACGAAGGGACCUAGCGUAGUUCGGAAUUACUGGGCUUAAAGAGUUCGUAGGUGGUUGAAAAAGUUGGUGGUGAAAUCCCAGAGCUUAACUCUGGAACUGCCAUCAAAACUUUUCAGCUAGAGUAUGAUAGAGGAAAGCAGAAUUUCUAGUGUAGAGGUGAAAUUCGUAGAUAUUAGAAAGAAUACCAAUUGCGAAGGCAGCUUUCUGGAUCAUUACUGACACUGAGGAACGAAAGCAUGGGUAGCGAAGAGGAUUAGAUACCCUCGUAGUCCAUGCCGUAAACGAUGUGUGUUAGACGUUGGAAAUUUAUUUUCAGUGUCGCAGCGAAAGCGAUAAACACACCGCCUGGGGAGUACGACCGCAAGGUUAAAACUCAAAUGAAUUGACAGGGACCCGCACAAGUAGUGGAGCAUGUG
rnacentral:rRNA from 1 species